rnacentral:lncRNA from 1 species
CCUGUCCCUGGGGCAGAUGAGGUUUUCCAGAGGGCCCGAGAUAGACUUUCCCAGAGCAGCAGCUGGAACUGUAAAUCUCUUGACUGUUCUCUUUCGUUCCCUCCAGCUUUCUGGCAGAGAACUGCUUAAUCCAGCCUCUCCCUCCCCUUCUUGUCAGUACUCACCGGAAGAGGUGGGUAUAGCUUGGGCGGUUUGGUUGGAGCCGGAUCCUGGAAGUGUUGGCCAGAGGCUUCUGUCACUGGGAUCAGACCCUGCCAAAACAGCGGCUCUACAACCUCUGGGAGAGCUGGUGGAAGAGCAGUGGAUGUUGCAGAAGGUCCUGGCAAAGCACUGGGAGGCAGGAAAAUACCGCAAGCACUCAAAAAGGAAACGAACCAUGUUCAUGGAGAAACAGUUGGCAUAUUUAAAUUUUCUUAAAAAAAAAAAAACAAAAUAA